GAAUAACUUAUUGCCCAUGACGUCUGAAGGGGGAAGAGGGAAUGGACAGCUGACAAACCAAUAGAAAGGGGUAUUUUUGAGUUGGUGAGAUACCUCAUUGGCCCCCAUUCAUAUUAAUAAUAGUAAAUACGAACUAGUUGUAAGUGGUAACUCUUAUGUGAACUCGAUCGAACUUUCCUCGCACACGUUCUUCAGUUGAAGCUGUUGAUGAUGAAUAAAAUCCCUGAGAGGUAAGUGACUCCACUCUCACUCAGGUUCACUAUGCGUUGGGUUCGUUGCCUCCUCUCCGCGACAGGAUUGAGUCUAAGUCCGAGUACCUCUUGGGAUUGGGACUGGGACGCUCGUCAAAAUGGGAAGUUUACAAUAAUCACGGAGAAAGGAUUCCGGGUACACCAUUUAUUGCCUUUAAAACACCUUUAAGUGAAUGUAUCUAGGAUUCUGAGGAGCCUCAAAUAUAUUAAUCCGAUUGUAUUGAAAAUUCGAUUAUUUGCAACUCAAGUUAUGUCCUCAUUUUAUCGAAAUGUCGUAUUCGAGGGAUUGUCGAAACUUUCUUCCUCGCCACUUCGAUGUUCUAGUGACCCACGCCACUUCUUUAUUUCAAGAAUGAAGUUUGUUAAGUGUCCUAGUACUAUUGAAGUAAAUCCUAUUCGUCUUCAAAUGCCAUUUACUCAUUUAUGUUCCUCUUCAAUAGUUGAAAACUUUCCUCUUGACAAGCAUAUUAUUGGAGUUUCUCAAGACCCACUAAACAAAGUAUUCAAUUGGGAUUUAAAUUACUCUUCUUUUAGCUCAAAAUUGAUAUGUGAAAUACUCUCUAAACCUGAUACUAAAGAUGAUUGGGUCAAUAAUAAUGAUUCCUUUUUCUCACCUCUCAAUUCUUCUCCAAAGAGGAUUAUUGUUGAGUUCUCAUCUCCAAAUAUAGCUAAACCCUUCCACUAUGGCCAUCUUCGCUCAACUAUAAUUGGUAAUUACGUUGCGAAUAUCAAUGAAGUCCUAGGUCAUUCUGUUACUCGCAUAAAUUUUCUUGGAGAUUGGGGAAAUCAAUUUGGCCUUUUGGCUGCUGAGUUGGAGAAAAGGGGCAUAGAUGUUAUUUCUCUUGAAUCUAUAAAUGAAUUAAAUACAUUGUAUGUUGAAGCAAAUAAAAGAGCGUUGACUGACGAAAGUUUUGUUCUUCAAGCAAAGGAGUGCUUCCGAAAACUGGAGAAGGGGGAUGAGUCGUUACUGAAUCAAUGGAAGCAUAUUCGAGAAAUAACUGUAUCAGAGCUUGCUCAAGUAUAUCGACGUUUGGGUGUGGAGUUUGAUUAUUACCAUGGAGAGUCCAUGUACAAUAAGAACAAUUGUACAGAAAUUAUAGAUAUCCUAGAAUCAAAAGGACUUCUUAAUCGUGGUGAGCUUUUGUCUUUUAACGACGGGUUGGGCAAAGCAAUUCCUCUUUGCAAAAGUGAUGGGUCAUCACUCUAUGUUUUACGUGAUGUUGGUGCAGCGAUGGAUCGUGCUGAAAAGUUUCACUUUGAUAGGAUGUAUUAUGUUGUAGAGAAUGGACAAUCCCUUCAUUUUCAAAAUUUGUUUCGUAUUCUAAAUGCUCUGAACCCUUAUCUCAACGUUGAACAUAUCAAAUUUGGUCGAAUCCAUGGUAUGUCAUCCAGAAAGGGAAACAUCAUUCUUCUUACUGAUAUUUUAGAUGAGGCUAAACAAUUAGCAAUGGAGCUACAAGAUCUCUCCAUUAAUACCCGCUUAAAUUCUCAUGAAGAGAAGGAACAUGCAGCGGAUAUAUGUGGGAUGACCGGGGUUCUUCGACAUGAUAUGUCUAAUAAGAGACAAAAGGACUAUCCCUUUCGAUGGGAAAAAGCUAUUCGUAAGAAGAGUGAUACAUUUCAGUACAAUCAUUGUAGAUUAUAUCGUCUUUUAACGGAGCAAAAUAUUGUUUCAAAUACUGAGGAGCUAUUACUUGAUGAAAAUCUAUUUUUGAAUGAACAUGAUGCAGUAUCCUUGGUUCACCAAUUGGCCUUAUUUGAUGAAGUUUUGAAAGAUUCGCAUUCUUGCUUACAGCCUUAUAUAUUAGUUAAAUAUAUGCAAAAUUUAUGUGAAGCUAUUUCGAAAGCCUUCAGAACUCUCUCUAUCAAAAAUGCAGAGAGUCACGCUAUUGCUCGAAGCAGAGUCUUGCUAUUUUUUGCUGCAAAAAGGACAUUAAAGAUGGGAAUGAAGAUAUUGGGAAUUCAGCCAUUGUCUAAAAUAGAUUUUUUAAGAAUGGUUGGGAAAAUUAUUACUAUUAUGAAAAGGGAUGGGCAGAUGAUGCCUAUUAUGAUAAAUGGACUCCAGCUAUUCUGGAAGGCACCAUUCCCCAAUUGGGAUCCGUUAUCGACCUCACAGCAACGCAUAAAUAUUAUAGACCUUACGAAUUGAAAUAUGCAACGCAUUUCAAAAUCAAAGUGCCGGGACGGGUUAUUCCACCAGAAGACAUUGUUGAAAAGUUUUUUGAUAUUGUGGAUGAAGUGAGAGAAUCCAAGCCGGAUAAGCUAAUUGGAGUUCAUUGUACUCAUGGAGUCAAUCGUACAGGAUACUUUUUAUGUCGAUACUUAAUCGAUAAAAUGGAUUGGUCUGCAGAAAAAGCUAUUUCAGAAGUAGGACAAUCUCGUGGAUAUGAAAUCGAAAGAGAUUGCUUUUUAAAUGGAUUAAGACCCUCGAAC
rnacentral:misc_RNA from 1 species